UACGAAGGGUGCAAACGUUGCUCGGAAUCAUUGGGCGUAAAGCGCACGUAGGCGGCUUUCUAAGUCGGAUGUGAAAUCCCUCGGCUCAACCGGGGAACUGCGUCUGAUACUGGAUGGCUUGAGUUUGGGAGAGGGACGCGGAAUUCCAGGUGUAGCGGUGAAAUGCGUAGAUAUCUGGAGGAACACCGGUGGCGAAGGCGGCGUCCUGGACCAACACUGACACUGAGGAGCGAAAGCCAGGGGAGCAAACGGG
rnacentral:rRNA from 1 species